UUAGUCUCCCAGCUCUGUAUUUAAACAGGUCAGGUAUUACACCUGUCAGCUACAGCAGAGUCCUGCUUCCCUCUACAACAGGAAAGCUGAACUUUAUCGACACCAUGGCCUCAUGUGGUGAAGAUACCAUAGAGACUGCAGCUGUGGGAAGACCGUUCCAGCUCGGCAUGCUGUAUGACUGCCGGAAGGAUGCUCUCAUUCCAGGUGUAACCUUAUGGGAUCUAAAGGAGCUACAAAAGAAUACAAGUGUGCAACAACAAAAUAAUACUGAGUUUAAUGUCACAGCAUCAGAUUCGAUUGAGGAGAAGUCCAAUUUGUUAAAGAUCUCUGGCUCUCUUAAACUGAGUCUGUUGGGAGGACUGGUGAAUGUGAGAGGAUCAGCAAAAUAUUUCCAAGACACAAAGAAAUCUCAGAAACAAGCUCGAGUGACUCUUCAGUACAACGCAACAACAAAGUUUGAAACACUGACAAUGUCUCACCUGGCUCAUGGACAGGUAUCUCAUCCUAAUGUGUUUGAAGACGACACUGCCACUCACGUGGUCACAGCCAUCCUGUACGGAGCUGGAGCUUACUUUGUGUUUGACAGAGAAUCAUCAUUAGAGGACGAGACAAAACAAGUGGAGGGAGAAGCUAACCUCACCUUCAACAAGCUGAAAUUCCUCACAGUAGAUGCUGAGGCUUCAUUCAACAUGGAUGACAAAGAGAGAGCAGCAGUAGAAAAAUUUAGCUGCACGUUUCACGGAGACUUCAAGCUACCCUCCAACCCAACGUCCUUCACUGAUGCUGUGAAAGUUUACAGGACCCUUCCUGACCUGCUGGGACAGGAUGGAGAACAUGCUGUUCCUCUCAGGGUGUGGCUAUACCCUCUGGUGAAGCUGGAUUCAAGAGCGGCAAGACUCCAAAGAGACAUCAGCCGUGCUCUCAUCACGUGCUCAUCAGAAACUAUAGAGAGUUUAAACAGGACAGAGAUGAGAUGCAGCGACCUCCUGAAAGACACCGCAGCAACAACAUUUCCUGCCAUGGAGAAGAAGGUUCAGGAUUUGAUGCAGAUGUGUUGCCAGUACAAGCUUGACUUCAUGCAGAAGCUCGGGUCAGUGCUUCCUUCAAUCCGAGGGGGUGGGAAAGAGGAGAGUGUCCUUGAGGAAAUCCUUAAGACUCAUGAGAGGUCACCAUUCAACAACAAAGACCUGGAUCAGUGGCUAAAAACCAAAGGGAAGGAAUCAGAUACUCUGAAAUCCUUCCUUAAACAGCUGGACAAACUAGGAGUGAAAAUGGAAGACCAUCUGGAUGACCUGUUGUCUGAUUUAGAUGUCAGAAAUGUUGUGUGCUUUUCAUUUACCUCUGUAGACCAGCCUGAUGGUUUCCUGGUCAAACUGUCCAAUCAUCUCAGACCAGCAGGAAUGGUGGACUCUGCUGGAUCCUCUGAUCUACGGGACACGAACACAGACUGGCUCUCCAGUGAUACUCGACAGACAAUGAGGAAACAACUGAAACUGUUUGGAGAACUGAAGAAGUCCAGCAACAGUGAUGACACCAAAUUCAUAGUUACAUCAAAAUAUGCUGAGAGUCAUCCUGGAGCGUGUAUUUUCAUAUAUGAAGACGGGUGUGAUGAUGCAGUCUGCUUUGUUUCUCCAUCAAAACCUGCCACUCCAUCCACCACUGCAUCAUAUGACAGCUUCACAGUUACAGUAUCUGAACCAGACUCUGUCACUGUAGAGUACACAGUAGACUACAGACAGAAACAGCAGCAGGACACUGAAUGGACAUCUCACCCAGUGAAGAAGAACCAAGAGACAGUAACUCUGUCAGGACUAAAGCCAGACACUGAGUAUGAGAUCAGAGCCACAGCUGUGGGUAAACUCAGCUAUGCUGUCAGCAGUGAUGUCUGCAGGGCUGUAACCCUCACAGCAGUUGGUCCACCCACUCAGGUAAAAUACACUGAAGUGAAAGCAAACUCCAUCACUCUGACAUGGAGCAACCCGUCUGUCCAAUGCUGUGAAUCUGUAAAACAGUUUAUCAUUGAGUUCAGAGAGGAGAACAGCAGUCAGUGGCAGAGUAAAGAGACCAGAGAGGAGGUCUACACAUUCACUCUGAACAGCCUUAAACAGGAUGCAGUCUACUCCGUCAGGAUGUGCACAGAUGGAGGUGUUGGAGUAAGUCAGCCUGGUGAAGAACUCAAGGUUAAAACUAAGAAAGAACCACUGGAUACAAAGAAGUCCACACUCAUCCAAGAGAUGCAGAAAACCAUCAAGAUACCGAUGAGUCUCUUAAACUGGGAGGAGUACCUGAUUCCUGCACCCCUCUCUAUCGCCAUCAUGGGGGAACUCGUCUUCAUCUCCCACUGUGAUGACUUCUCCAUCAACAAGAACCCCCCAAAAGGUGGCUACAAGUUCAUAAAGUUCCCAGACUCCUUCAGGGCUUGUCUUAUGCAGGUCUAUGACUCGUUGUCACACGCAUUCAACGAGGCACACAAGAACAUGGAUCAGAUCUGCAUUCACAUGAGCACAGUUCCUGAUUACAUGAAGGCUGCAGUCAACAUUCUGUUCAAUGGCACUGAUGAAGUUAUUGAAACUCCUCUGCCAAAUCAACUGGAAAACAUUCACACCAUUCCAGACGAGUGCGUGACAUUAGCAGACAGUGUUGAAAAGAAGUAUGCUGAUGUUAUCAAUUUAAUCCAGGACCUGUUGGAGGCUUGUAUCAAUGCUGAACACUUUUAUGGAGAAGAGAUGGAAAAGGUCAAGAUGAAACUGGAAGAAAACAAACUGAGGGAGCAGAGUGCAAGACAGCUGAGUGAACAAUCCAAGAAAGCACAACAGUCAUAUGAGAAGAGUGUGGAGAACAUGGAGAAGAAUCAGAAAGAGCUGACUGACAUCCUGGUUGAGAUGCAGAACUGCAAAAUCAAUGAGAUCGACUUUGACACCAAAAUCAAAAUGCUGGUCAAAGGUCUUGAUGCCAUGGGCAGAGUCAAAGAGCAGUGGGAGAAGAUGGUGCGCUUCUUCCAGAUGGUCUCCAACAUUGUCAAAACCAGCCUCAGCAAGACAAUGCACAAUUUUAUUAAUGAGAAGCUCUUUGUAAAAGACCUCCUGUACAAACAGGCCUUUGAAGCCUCCAACAUUGCCAGCCUGAUCCACAUGAUCUCAGAGACCUACACUGAAGUGUCCAACAAGUACCUGAUGGACAGAGUGAACAGCCUGGGUAAGCUCAUGGCCAUGGAUAAGGAGAGACCAGAGUUCCUUCAUGAGCGUCUGAAGCUGCAGGAGUCCUGUGACGAUGCUCAGAGAGGGAUUCUGCAGCUGGUCCUGAAGAACAAGAAAGAAUUUGAGAGGCAGACCGAUGCCAGGAUGAAGAAAAUAGAGGGUGACCUGAAGGCCAUUCUGCCUGCUGCUCCACCUGAGGAGACGGAGAGAAUCAAAGAGAUCGUUCAGGCCGGCUUCAGUAAAGAAGAGGAGGAUUACUACUGAUUCAGGUUCAUUGUUUACUGCAGAAUCUAGAUAACUAUGGUAUAUCACAGUAUGAUACAGAAGCUUCACAUGUGGGUGUUAGCAAGUCCACCUCCUGGUGUUGGGUCAAGUUUUUUCCACUUUGCUGUUUCCUUGUGUUUUAUAGUGAUCAGUGUGAGACAGUGUAAACCUGAGUAUAAACCAGAGAAAUCCUGUCUGAUGAUUGUGUUCAUAUAAUGCACGUCUGACUUGGGAGAGGGAAUGAAGUAAUACAGAGAAGUAUAAUCAGAGCUAGAGAUGUAUGUGUGUGUGUGUGUGUGUGUGCAGAGAUAAAUCUAAUGUGUGUGCUGUAAAACAUCAGGUUUUCUCUGUCACAGACUGGCUGCACAUCUUCAGCACUCACUCAUUUUAGAGAAGAAUCAUUUAUUUCAAGUCGUCCUUUCUGUUCAUCAAAGUCAUUUCUCCUUGAAAUGGAAAUGUAAUAGUUUUUGGUUUUCUUCUCUUUUUUCAGAUGUAUUUAACCUUUACUUUAGCUGAAUGUAAUCUGUUACAUUUCAGUCACACUUGACUCUGGAUGAGACUUUGUACUCUGCUUGCUGUGCUCAAUAAAACUAAGUAGAUCCUCUUGAUCUACUGAAAAGACAGAAUCAUGUUUAUCUUA